ensembl:snRNA U1 U1 spliceosomal RNA
UUACUAACCUGGCAGGAGAGUUACUGUGAUCACGAAGAUGUUUUUCCCAGGGCAAGGGUUACCCAUUGCACUCUGGAUAUGCUGACCCCUGCGAUUUCCCCAAAUGUGGGAAACUCGAGUGCAUAACAUGUGGUAGUGGGGGACUGUGUUCACGCUUUCCCCUG